rnacentral:tRNA from 1 species
GCGCCUGUAGCUCAGGGGAUAGAGCAGCGGACUUCUAAUCCGUUAGUCGGGGGUUCAAAUCCUCCCAGGCGCACCA